rnacentral:misc_RNA from 1 species
GAGUAACACAUCAUCAUACCAGUGA